UUAAACAUGAGAGUUUGAUCCUGGCUCAGAAUCAACGCUGGCGGCGUGCCUAACACAUGCAAGUCGAACGCGAAAACGGCUUCGGCCGUAAGUAGAGUGGCAAACGGGUGAGUAACGCGUGGGUGACCUAUCUUCGAGCGGGGGAUAACGUUUCGAAAGGAACGCUAAUACCGCAUAACAUCCCGUCUUUGGAAAGAUGGUGAUCAAAGCUGGGGAUCGUAAGACCUGGCACUUGAUGAGGGGCCCGCGUCCGAUUAGCUUGUUGGUGGGGUAAUGGCCUACCAAGGCGA
rnacentral:rRNA from 1 species